GCAACAUUGGAUAACUUGGCGAAACGCCAAGCUAAUACAUGAACCAACAGGACGCUCUCUGUUCCGGCGGUGGGGCAACUCACCGCCAUGGGACGUCCAGCGAAUGAAUGAAAGUAAAAUCAAUGCCUUAACCGGCAGUAACACCAAGAAGUGUUGACUCAAUUCAUUCCGUGCGAAAGCCGGGUUUUACCCGGCGUCUUUUGACGAACAACUGCCCUAUCAGCCAGUGAUGGCCGUGUAGUGGACUGCCAUGGCGUUGACGGGAGCGGGGGAUUAGGGUUCGAUUCCGGAGAGGGAGCCUGAGAAAUAGCUACCACUUCUACGGAGGGCAGCAGGCGCGCAAAUUGCCCAAUGUCAAAAAAAACGAUGAGGCAGCGAAAAGAAAUAGAGCCGACGGUGCCUAGUGCAUUGUCGUAUUCAAUGGGGGAUAUUUAAACCCAUCCAAAAUCGAGUAACAAUUGGAGGACAAGUCUGGUGCCAGCACCCGCGGUAAU
rnacentral:rRNA from 1 species